AGUGAACGCUGGCGGUAGGCCUAACACAUGCCAGUCGAACGGCAGCACAGUAAGAGCUUGCUCUUACGGGUGGCGAGUGGCGGACGGGUGAGGAAUACAUCGGAAUCUACUUUUUCGUGGGGGAUAACGUAGGGAAACUUACGCUAAUACCGCAUACGACCUACGGGUGAAAGCAGGGGAUCUUCGGACCUUGCGCGAUUGAAUGAGCCGAUGUCGGAUUAGCUAGUUGGCGGGGUAAAGGCCCACCAAGGCGACGAUCCGUAGCUGGUCUGAGAGGAUGAUCAGCCACACUGGAACUGAGACACGGUCCAGACUCCUGCGGGAGGCAGCAGUGGGGAAUAUUGGACAAUGGGCGCAAGCCUGAUCCAGCCAUACCGCGUGGGUGAAGAAGGCCUUCGGGUUGUAAAGCCCUGUUGUUGGGAAAGAAAAGCAGCAGGUUAAUACCCCGCUGUUCUGACGGUACCCAAAGAAUAAGCACCGGCUAACUUCGUG
rnacentral:rRNA from 1 species